rnacentral:rRNA from 1 species
GAUGAACGCUGGCGGCGUGCCUAAUACAUGCAAGUCGAGCGAACGGACGAUAAGCUUGCUUCUCUGAUGUUAGCGGCGGACGGGUGAGUAACACGUGGAUAACCUACCUCUAUGACUGGGGUAACUUCGGGAAACCGGUGCUAAUACCGGCUAAUAUUUUGAACCGCAUGGUUCAAAAGUGAAAGACGGUCUUGCUGUCACUUAUAGAUGGAUCCGCGCUGCAUUAGCUAGUUGGUAAGGUAACGGCUUACCAAGGCAACGAUGCAUAGCCGACCUGAGAGGAUGAUCGGCCACACUGGAACUGAGACACGGUCCAGACUCCUACGGGAGGCAGCAGUGGGGAAUAUUGGGCAAUGGGCGCAAGCCUGAUGGAGCAACACCGCGUGAGUGAUGAAGGUCUUCGGAUCGUAAAACUCUGUUAUUAGGGAAGAAAAUAUGUGUGAGUAACUGUGGACGUUCUGACGGUACCUAAACAGAAAGCACCGGCUAACUACGUG